rnacentral:rRNA from 1 species
GGCUAAGCUCUGGCUAUGAGCGGGGGGGAUACGGGUGGUGCGAGGGGUACGCGGAGUUACGGGGCGUAUGGCGUGCGAUGGGGGUGCGUUAAGGCUGAGGGGAAAGCCCUGGGCUAAACCGGGGAAUGGCAUUGGAAACUGGCGACCUAGAGGGCGGUAGAGGGUAGUGGAAUUCCCGGUGUAGCAGUGAAAUGCGUAGAGAUCGGGAGGAACAUCCGUGGCGAAGGCGACUACCUGGACCAGCACUGACACUGAGGCACGAAAGCGUGGGGAGCAAAUAGGAUUAGAUCCCCAGUAGUC